rnacentral:rRNA from 1 species
CCUACGGGAGGCAGCAGUGAUGAAUAUUGGUCAAUGGGCGAGAGCCUGAACCAGCCAUGCCGCGUGCAGGAAGACGGUCCUAUGGAUUGUAAACUGCUUUUAUACAGGAAGAAACACUCCCUCGUGAGGGAGCUUGACGGUACUGUAGGAAUAAGGAUCGGCUAACUCCGUGCCAGCAGCCGCGGUAAU